rnacentral:tRNA from 1 species
CAUAGCUCAGUUUGGUAGAGCACCUGCCUUUUAAGCAGAGGGUCGUAGGUUCGAGUCCUACUG